GUCUACAGCAGACAAAGUGCUACAGUUAUCUCUUUUAGCUGUUAGGAAACGCUAUUGGCACCUUGGGAUUGGUAGCUACAUCAUGGAGGUAAAUACACACACCCAGUCUAGAAGAACAAACCACUCAUACUUGGUCGGCCGAAUCCAGACUUGCACACCUUUGAAUUCUGCUUUGCACAGUUGUGAACUACACUGUUUGUCAUAACAACUUAAUUACUUUUGGUUUAAAGCUGAAGUGUGUAAUUUCUGCGGCACAAGUGUCACCAAAAGGAAUAGCAAAAAUAAUUUUCAACAGAUUCCAGAAAACACCCCCCGUCUUCCAUUGGUUGUAUAAACAGAUAGUCCCGCCCCACAUUCAUGCCAUUGGUCGAGCCAGUGUUACUGUGUCGGGCUGGACGGGUUGCUCAAACAAACUGAAGAAAGUUUAUAUAGUGCCACAGAGCCAGUGUAUUUCACUUUUAGGUGAAAUCAACCUAGAAAUUACACACAUCAGCUUUAAGUUAAAGAACAUGGCCUACAUCUUUUCACCAAGCUGUAUGUUUUCAUUGUGCAUAGACACUGCCCUCUGUUGUGUGUAUGCAGUACUGCUAUUUAUUUAUUUAUUUUUGUUUGUUAAUUAACCACUGUCAAGGUCUAUUUGUCUGUGUUAUGUUUGUGUAUUGCAUGUGUAGAUGCUUGUUUCUUGGACAGCUUUUGAAGACUCAGUCCGUGGUAGGACAAUAUGAUGCCCUCAUUCUCCAUGCUGACAGUGGUGCGAUAGGUUUCUUCAAAUGCCACGGAUUCACUGAUGACCUCCUGCUCAAUGACAUGUUCAAGUACAGAUCAUUUUGUCUCAUAUUACAUGCUAUGUUGUUACACAAAAGUUUGAAUUUAAAUCUAAUUUUCAAAAUCACAUAAUUUAACUGGGCUCACAUGUAAAAUGCUCAUGCAUUCAGACACAGGCACAAAUGAAUGUCUCAGAUUACAAGAAUUGCCUGAUUCAGUGGAUACAGUAGUUUUGUUAUAACAGAGAGCUGAAAGAUGAUUGGACCAACAGUAUUCUUAUGAGCUACCUGCCACCCUUUACUACAGGUGAAGCACUCACUCGCUCACUCACUCACUCGCUCACUCACUCACUCACUCACUCACUCACACAUACGUUUACUUAGCAAUUUUGUCCUAAAAUGUAGCAAAGUUUGUAUGUACGCACACGCAUACUCCUGCACAUACUGUAUAUACUUAGAUACAUUUAUAUUUUCAUUCUUUGCAUUUAUAGAUUUAUAGAUGAGAAAUCCUGAUUUUUCCCUGAUUUUACAAGAGCUGGAGACAGAGGUAAGGUCGCAGGCCCUCUUUUCUUACCAGCAACAGGUGAUGUGUGUGACCAGGCUAAUCAAAGAGGUCAAGAUCUUACGUGAACAGUGGCACCUGGCUUUUCAGCUAGAUCUACAAUGUGAAGAAAUGGAGUGCCUCAGCGUCAAGCUAGAACUUGAAAAACAAAAGCGGUAUGAAUUAGAUGUUCAGGAACUAAAUGAGUCUUCAUGUUCAAGAAAACCAGAGCAAGAAACGGUACAGUCAGAAGAAAUUGUCAAUCAAACACUUGAGAGCACUGAACACUGUUGAUGAAACUACUAUAUUUUACUAAAGAAUUAUUCAAUGUAUACUAUGUUCUCUCAUGGUGUAAAACAUAGUACUAUACAUGCAUAUUUAAUCAUUUUUAAGCAGAUUUUCUUUAAAAUAGUCUUAUAAUUUGCAUUAUAUUAGAAUUAGUUGUGUAUCUUGUAUUGGAGGCCUUAGGAAGAGAUUGCAUUUUUUGGAAAUCAUACCUGUUAAUUGUUUGAUCCUCAUAAUCAUUUUAUUGGUAUAUUUAUUAUUUAUUAAUGUGUGCCUC